AUCCGGCCCUUUUUAUAUAUCUUUUUCUUGCCUAGGUCUCACACAAGUCAUCAUCACCUUCGAUUCUCUCUCUAUACGGGUCGGGUCGGACCGGUUCACAUACACAGGGUCACAGUAUGGGAAGCAAGAAUGAUAGCUGGUCUGAUCAAUGGGGAAACGGUGUUUUUGACAAUGAAGAAAAGAAUCAUGAAAAGCCGAAUAAGAAGAGCAAUGAUAGCAACAACAAGAAGAUGGAGCAGCUGAAAGCAGUUGCAUCCACUGGAUUGGUGAAAGCGAAGUCUGCUGCGAUUGUUGGAGCACACAAAGUGAAGAAAGGUACCUCAACUGGUUUUAAAUGGAUCAAGAGCAAAUGCUCUUCUUCUAAGUGAAAAUGUUGAUCUAUCUUGGUUUUAUAUCAAAUGACUUUUUUUUUUUCCGAUUACAAUGGUUUUAUCGAGUGUACAUUGCAGGACACACAUGAAUGAAUGAUUAGUCCAAUUUUCACAUAA